UACGUAGGGGGCAAGCAGUUGUCCGGAAUCAUUGGGCGUAAAGAGCGUGUAGGCGGUUCGGUAAGUCGGCUGUGAAAGUCCAGGGCUCAACCCUGGGAUGCCGGUCGAUACUGCCGGACUAGAGUUCGGAAGAGGCGAGUGGAAUUCCCGGUGUAGCGGUGAAAUGCGCAGAUAUCGGGAGGAACACCUAUGGCGAAGGCAGCUCGCUGGGACGUUACUGACGCUGAGACGCGAAAGCGUGGGGAGCAAACAGG
rnacentral:rRNA from 1 species